GGGGAUGUGACUCAUUGGUAGAGCGCUUGCCUAGCAUGUGUGAGGCACUGGGUUCGAUUCUCAGCACCCCA
rnacentral:tRNA from 1 species